UUGUCAAUGUAUUGAAAUUAUACAUUAUAACAAUUUUUUUUUCAUAUUCAUUUGAAUUGCCUAUUCAUGACAUGUGGACAGGAUUGCUGCACCAUGUCACUGGAGAACACCAGUGGGGACUUGGCGGCUGUUACCAUGGCCCAUUGGAGGAAAAUAGCAACAAGGAGCUUAUUCCAAAGGGAAGCACUGCACACCGCAAAAUCACAGAACUGAUCAUGGAUGAGAGGUGGUCAAAGACGAUUCCAAAGUACUUGACCUUUAGAUCCACUGGUGCCCUGGAGUGUUUCCAUGCACACCUUCUGAUGUACGCAUCAAAACGAAUCGCCUUUACCACCUGUGUAUGCGGCCCGAACACUUUUAGCUGCCCUCGACUACAAUGAACACUGCAGCCGACCCUACUAUGUGAAGGCAGAUGGCAAAUACAGCUACCACAAAAUGUACAACAAAAAAAAAGCGGUGGCUUCUGUCUGUACAUAAAGAAGGUCAAGAAGAGUUAUGAGUACAUAAAAGACCUCCAGUGUGCCAUCCUACGCUGCAAGUUGGACCAGUUGGCGGCAGGGAGGGGCAUGCCUCGGAAAAGAGCGAUGAGACCAGAUGACCCCG
ensembl:lncRNA